UCCAUGCUACUUUGAUCUCAUCAUAUCACAAUACAUAUGACAAUUUACUCUGAACCCUGACCAUCGGGAUCAUGACGUGACUACCUGCAGCUGGAGCUAAUGCAUAUACGACUAGAGAGCAGAGAAAGAAAAUUUUGUGAUACUCACUGUC
rnacentral:rRNA from 1 species